CUCGGGGUGACUGGAGACGGUUCCAGUCCGGUCUCAUAAACCGGCAGACGCGGGUUCGAAUCCCGCCCCCGAAA
rnacentral:tRNA from 1 species